GCUGGGCAUGGUGGCACGUGCCUGUAGUCCCAGCUACUUGGGAGACCAAGGUGGGAAGAUUGGUUGACCCCAGGAGUUCUGGGCUGUAGUGCGCUAUGCCAGUCUGCUGUCUUGCACUAAGUUCAGCAUCAAUGUGGUGACCUCCUGGGAGUGGGGGACCACCAGGUUGCUGAAGGAGGGGUGAACCAGCCCAGGUUGGAAACAGAGCAGGUUAAAACUUCCGUGCUGAUCAGUAGUGGCAUGGCGCCUGUGAAUAGCCACUGCACUCCAGCCUGGGCAACAUAGCGAUCUUCAUGCU
ensembl:misc_RNA Metazoa_SRP Metazoan signal recognition particle RNA